UGGCUCAGGAUGAACGCUAGCUACAGGCUUAACACAUGCAAGUCGAGGGGCAGCAUGGUCUUAGCUUGCUAAGGCCGAUGGCGACCGGCGCACGGGUGAGUAACACGUAUCCAACCUGCCGUCUACUCUUGGACAGCCUUCUGAAAGGAAGAUUAAUACAAGAUGGCAUCAUGAGUCCGCAUGUUCACAUGAUUAAAGGUAUUCCGGUAGACGAUGGGGAUGCGUUCCAUUAGAUAGUAGGCGGGGUAACGGCCCACCUAGUCUUCGAUGGAUAGGGGUUCUGAGAGGAAGGUCCCCCACAUUGGAACUGAGACACGGUCCAAACUCCUACGGGAGGCAGCAGUGAGGAAUAUUGGUCAAUGGGCGAGAGCCUGAACCAGCCAAGUAGCGUGAAGGAUGACUGCCCUAUGGGUUGUAAACUUCUUUUAUAAAGGAAUAAAGUCGGGUAUGGAUACCCGUUUGCAUGUACUUUAUGAAUAAGGAUCGGCUAACUCCGUGCCAGCAGCCGCGGUAAUACGGAGGAUCCGAGCGUUAUCCGGAUUUAUUGGGUUUAAAGGGAGCGUAGAUGGAUGUUUAAGUCAGUUGUGAAAGUUUGCGGCUCAACCGUAAAAUUGCAGUUGAUACUGGAUAUCUUGAGUGCAGUUGAGGCAGGCGGAAUUCGUGGUGUAGCGGUGAAAUGCUUAGAUAUCACGAAGAACUCCGAUUGCGAAGGCAGCCUGCUAAGCUGCAACUGACAUUGAGGCUCGAAAGUGUGGGUAUCAAACAGGAUUAGAUACCCUGGUAGUCCACACGGUAAACGAUGAAUACUCGCUGUUUGCGAUAUACUGCAAGCGGCCAAGCGAAAGCGUUAAGUAUUCCACCUGGGGAGUACGCCGGCAACGGUGAAACUCAAAGGAAUUGACGGGGGCCCGCACAAGCGGAGGAACAUGUGGUUUAAUUCGAUGAUACGCGAGGAACCUUACCCGGGCUUAAAUUGCAGAUGAAUUACGGUGAAAGCCGUAAGCCGCAAGGCAUCUGUGAAGGUGCUGCAUGGUUGUCGUCAGCUCGUGCCGUGAGGUGUCGGCUUAAGUGCCAUAACGAGCGCAACCCUUGUUGUCAGUUACUAACAGGUUCCGCUGAGGACUCUGACAAGACUGCCAUCGUAAGAUGUGAGGAAGGUGGGGAUGACGUCAAAUCAGCACGGCCCUUACGUCCGGGGCUACACACGUGUUACAAUGGGGGGUACAGAGGGCCGCUACCACGCGAGUGGAUGCCAAUCCCCAAAACCUCUCUCAGUUCGGACUGGAGUCUGCAACCCGACUCCACGAAGCUGGAUUCGCUAGUAAUCGCGCAUCAGCCACGGCGCGGUGAAUACGUUCCCGGGCCUUGUACACACCGCCCGUCAAGCCAUGGGAGCCGGGGGUACCUGAAGUGCGUAACCGCGAGGAGCGCCCUAGGGUA
rnacentral:rRNA from 1 species